rnacentral:rRNA from 1 species
GGUUCAUUCAAUUUCUUGCCCUAUCAACUUUCGAUGGUAAGGUAUUGGCUUACCAUGGUUUCAACGGGUAACGGGGAAUUAGGGUUCGAUUCCGGAGAGGGAGCCUGAGAAACGGCUACCACAUCCAAGGAAGGCAGCAGGCGCGCAAAUUACCCAAUCCCGACCGGGGAGGUAGUGACAAUAAAUACUGAUACAGGGCUCUUUUGGGUCUUGUAAUUGGAAUGAGUACAAUUUAAACCUCUUAACGAGGAACAAUUGGAGGGCAAGUCUGGUGCCAGCAGCCGCGGUAAUUCCAGCUCCAAUAGCGUAUAUUAAAGUUGUUGCAGUUAAAAAGCUCGUAGUUG